AAAUGAGAUGCCUGAGCAUAAAGGGUUAUUUUGAUAGAAUAAAUCACGUAAUAUAUUACUCUCGUU
rnacentral:tRNA from 1 species